UUCCAUUAUUGAUGAAUUUAAAUUUUUUGGAUUUUAAAUGUCAUAUUUCUAUUCUUUUAUUAUUUUUAUGUUGAUAACUAAAUUAACAUUUUUGUAUAAUCUAAUAUUUAAAACAAUUUAUGUAUUAUUUUAUGCUAAUUUUUUUUUUCAUAAUAUAUUAAAUGUUUAUAUUUUCAUUAUAUUAUUGAAAAUGUUCAGUGUAUAUCAAUUAAAACUUAAAUUUUUAUUGUAAGAGCAUUUAAGCAAUUAAAUACAUAAGAUAUACAGUUUAAUCAUAGAUUCAUAUGUAAAUUAUUAUUUUUGGAUAUUACCAAAGCGACUACUAUUACUAAAUAUGAUAAUAUUUAAAUUGGAAACAAAAUAUAAAUUUUAUGGUUUGAUACACAAUAUAUCAUAUAUCCUUCUAAAAUUGACUAGUAUUAUUGAUAUCCAUAGUGUUAUUAAAUUAGUGACUACUACUAAGAAAAAUCGGAUAAUCACCGGUGAUCAAAUGAGGCAGUGGAAAAUUACUCAAGGUUGUGUAUUUUGCGGAAAACGAAACGAGACCAGAGAUCACUUGUUCUUUGCAUGUCCAUACACCUAUACGGUAUGGACAAAUCUUGCUGACAAAUUAUUUGGCUGUUUCAUUACACCGGAUUGGAACGACACUGUUAGGAGCCUGUUGCAGACGACUCACAGUCAGAUAGACAACAUUCUCUUGCGUAUGUUGUUUCAGACAGCUUUACAUGCUCUCUGGAGAGAGAGAAAUUCUAGACGAUAUGGAGGAACCCGUGUGUCAGUUGGAUCAUAGUAAUAAGCUGAUUUCAUUAAGGGCAUUGAUGUCUUUAACCACGUUUUGCAUUUAAAAGAAAAUAAAAAAAGAAAUUAUUCUUUAUUGGUGGGAUAAAAUAGAAUUUUUGAAGAGAGGGUGGGGUAUAUUGAGUUAAAGUCCAAAAAAACCUUUGGAUAAGCUACACUUAAAAUCUUAUUCCAUGUUCGAAAGAACACAUUGAAGUCGGAUUUAAGAUUGAUGUUAAAAUAUCCAACUGAUGCGAUUUGAAAGUGUGAUUGAAUACCGUGUCAUAUGAUGUUCGACUAUUAGCCAGCAAAAGAUGGGAGAUCUCUAGAUCCGUAGCCUAAAGUGAACCAUAAGGCUUUAAUUGCCCGAAUUUUAAAAUAAAAUUCCGGUGUACUCUAGUAGGGUAUGAGGGUAGGUGACCUUGAACAUAAUUAGCCCACUUGAAUUUUGGGACUAGGGCUAAUAGCCAUAUCCAUUGAAGAUGUCCAUGACCAUGGGCACUCAAAUGAACGCAUGAUUAGGGUUAAGCUGGAGACGAUGUUGUGUCGUCGGUGGCAGAGGAGCUGCAGCGGACAGUCGGAAAGGAUACAACAGUCAGGGCUGGCUUAACACUGCUACGGGUCCUAGAGCAAAAAAUUUUUUUUACUCUCUAAGAUUUAUUAUCGUUUAAAAUAUUUUUAAAAUUUAAUUAGCAAUAUUUUGUGAUGAAAAUAAAACUAUAUACAUAUCCAAUAAUUUUGGGUCAUAUUCAAAUUCAUUUAUUAUAUUUAUAAUUUUUUAUAUAGAAAAUAUAAAUUUAUAAAAAAAUUAGGCCUUUUUAUUAUUAAUAUACGAAAGACAUGGGCUUGAGCCAGGAGCGGUCACACAACCGGCCCUAACAACAGUGCAGAGGAGAGGCGUCAGUGCUGGACUCUGUUCUGAUGAAUACAUGGUGUGACACAGUGGAGAGUGACUAGAACCGGAGGAGAAGAGAUGCGUAGCAGAGGGGGCAAAGGAGAGCUGAACAGCUCAGGCAUAUCGGCUUGCGCUAAGAGAAGCGGCGUGCGAGAUGUGAAGCAUCGUUGGUAGGGCACAACGACUAUAGGUGUUGAGAAGCGGUGACGAAGAGGAGAUCUCCCUAGAAGGUGUCGGGUCUGGUAGAGCCAGAUCCAUAGUACGACCGCCAAACAUUUCUUCGACGGAGCACAUAUGUAUUGUCAGGACAACAAAAAGUGAACCCGAAACUUAAAGCUGAAGGUGGAGACACAUCGGAACUAGAGACACAACAGAACCAUAGCCAGCUCAAUAUAAUCCGGGGUCCCUGGGUGGCUGGGGCAGUCGCACUGACCGGCUUCCUAUGUUAAGUCAGAAUUAGAGUAGAAAGCGAGACGGAUGACUAAGGUUUGAGGCCGAUGACCAAAGACACCGCCAGCUCGUCAAGAGACAUCAAUGACGGUGGAACUUUGCCCGAGAGAAAAAGAGAGAAAUUAGCUAAAUUUCCUAUAUAGUUUGACUAAAUAGUUUAGUAUUGUAAACUAUAUAUGCCAGUUUUGUAUUGUCGUUGCUUACCAAAUGUGUUGCGACUUUAACAUUUUGUUCACUCUACGCAUAUGUAUUUAUUUUUCAUUUGUUGGAUGGAGGAGUAAGACUUCACAGUGUGUUUGUAUCAGACAGAGUUCGAACCAACCGGUCGGAAAAGAAUAAACACCAAUUCUAAUAUUCGAGAGAUAGAAGUGAUAAAAGCAGCCCCUUUCCGAUGCUCAGAUGGAGUAGUUGGGGGAAUCACAGUUCAGAAAAUAAUGCUAAUAGGAACGCAUACAUGUUCAGUCAUGUUUGUCAACUUUUUCCUUGUCUAGUUGCACAAUGUAAUAAAUAUAUAGGUUCCUACGUAUUUUAUGCAACAAAGAAGUACAAUUGUAUUGUGACAUAGUAGAGAACUUCCAUUAUUAUAACAUUUUUAAUAUAGUAUAUAUGUCAACCUGUAUACACAACAGUUUGUCUAUAUACAGUUCUUCUAUGUUAGAUUCCACCAUUUGGGACCCCCUUAAGUUCACUAGUUAUAGCCUUUUCUUCUUCUAACGGCAGCUAACACAUUUUUGCAACUGAUAAGCCCAAGUGUGGUCUCUUGUACAUAACAUAGUCAAAUAAAAAGGUCAUUCUUACACUACUAUACUACAUAUUGUAAAGUAUAGUAUUGUAUGGUGUUAAGUGAUGCCUAUGGUUAUACUAAAUGAAAUAUAGUAUAGUAAUAUUUGAUAGCUUUUCGUUGACACAUACGUCGCUAACAUAGGACAGUCCUCUAAUUUUGUGUCCUUUACGUUCAAAAAUUGUCUAUGCAUAUUUUAUUGAAUCGAAGUUGACAUGCGUCUAACCGAGCCACCCCAUUGCGUUUACUAUUUGUGCAACUUAUGUAAUAUGUGAUGUGCUCUGUACGGCUAUUAUUAUCCGACUAUACACUAUGAGUUUUCAUUGUUUAGUUAGUCAGCUGCUUGAAUACACUUAAAUAUCAAAUUUGUAUAUAUUACCUCCAAAAGUUUCGCUACCCCUAUCCUCAGUUCUAUAAUAGUUGCUUCUUGCAUCCUAAAAUACAUUCUCCCAACACCUAGCUUCCAUCUGUUAUACCUUUGUCUACAACAUAUAUGCAACUAGAACCAUAUACACCUUUGACGUGAGCUCAUCUGGUUCUACGGUGACCAUACUAUAUUAUAUGUAGUAUAGUGUUAACAUUUGUAUAAGUGACUUAAGUGUGUAUAGACGCUUAAUUUAAAAGAAGAUAUAAUAAAUAUGAUUAUAUUUUAAAAUAAUAGGCGAGAACUUAUCCUUUUAAAAUAACUAGAGUUUUUCCGGGCUACACCCGGAUUUUUCCUCUAUAUUUUAGUUUUAUUUAGUUUAUAAUAGAGUUUGUAUUUGACUACAUAUUUUAUACUUAGACUGAAUAUCCUGUAUGAAUUAUCAAAUAAAUUUGCAAUUUUUGUAUUGUAUUUGGUGACUAAAAUUUUAAAAUUAUGAAAACUCAUUUUUUUCAAUAUCAAAAUACAUAUAAGUUGGUAACCAAAAUAAAUGAAAAAUUAGUUCACAUUCAAUUAUUAUUUUAUCUUAUUUAUUUGAGUUUAUGAACAUAUGGUUAAAUUAACAUAUAAUCUAAACAUUCUUAACGUUAAAAUCAACCAAUAUAUAUUUUAAAUUUUUAAUAUUGAUUAUUUAUUAUUUGGUGAUAAGAAAACUUAUAUGAAUGUGUUAUUAAGUGUUAAGGCAGUAAUGAAAUGAAGAACAAUUGAUAUUUUAAAGUGAUGUAUAUCAAAAGAAUCCUGAAAUUAUGUCAAAUACAUUUGUUUCCAUCCAACAAAACAAAAUAUAAAAAAUUAAAAUAUAAUAAUAUUCUCUAAUAGCUAUUUGUAUGUUUUCCUUAAGAAAAUCAAAAUAAUGUUGUUGAUAUUU